rnacentral:rRNA from 1 species
UACGUAGGGUCCAAGCGUUAUCCGGAAUCACUGGGCGUAAAGCGCGUGUAGGCUGCUCUGCAAGUCGGAUGUGAAAGCCCUGGGCUCAACCUAGGAAGUGCACUCGAAACUGCAGAGCUUGAGUCUCGGAGAGGAUCGCGGAAUUCUCGGUGUAGAGGUGAAAUUCGUAGAUAUCGAGAGGAACACCGGUGGCGAAGGCGGCGAUCUGGACGAUGACUGACGCUGAGACGCGAAAGCGUGGGGAGCAAACAGG